rnacentral:rRNA from 1 species
UACAGAGGGUGCGAGCGUUAAUCGGAAUUACUGGGCGUAAAGCGUGCGUAGACGGUUUCGUAAGUCGGGUGUGAAAUCCCCGGGCUCAACCUCGAGACGUCGGCGGAAACCAUCUGGCUAGAGUCCGGAAGAGGAGAAUGGAAUUCCCGGUGUAGCGGUGAAAUGCGCAGAUAUCGGGAAGAACACCCGUGGCGAAGGCGGUUCUCUGGGACGGUACUGACGCUGAGACGCGAAAGCGUGGGGAGCGAACAGG